rnacentral:misc_RNA from 1 species
AAGUCUGCAAUUCUCUGCUGAUUUUGCAAAUUACAAUUCUCUUCAAGUCAAUCAUUAGGCUACUUCCCCCAAGGCCAUUGGGCUCCUAAAUGGCCUUGUCCACGGGUAAACAACUGAUUCACUCAAAUAUUGGCUGAUUUUUGCAAAAGAUUAGAUGGAAGAGUAAAAUGCUAUAUAAUUUACAUUAUCAAUUUAUUUUAGUUCAUUCAAACUGAACGUACCAACAAAACCAUCUAAUUAUUCUUUGUUUAUGCCCAAAUAGAAAGCACAGAUAACUAUAUAUGGCCUACAUGAAACACAACAGUCCUUGCUCUUGUAAUUUAAAGCCACAAAUUUGCUGAAACUGCAGUUGCCUUAAAGAGACAUUGAAUUUCAUUCAGCUGUUGGAUGCAAAGAUGGCCCCAUUCUAGCUUGCAUGAAAUUGUUUCUGACUGAAUGUAUCUCUUUGAUUGCAUCGCUUAUGUC